UUUUUUUUUUGUAUUUUUUUUGUUCUGAAACUAAACCAGAAAAUCAAAAAAAAUGGAGAUGAACCACUGAAAAGAAAAAGAAUGUUUUUUAGAACCCUAGCUUUCCUUUCCGAUUUUUUUUCUCUGAAAUUUUUGUUCCAAAAAAAUGACCUCUCUCAGAAAUCUCUUAACCUCCCUAUAUAUACCCGAAAUUUUCAUACCUUUUUUCUUUCUUCAAGUCAUGCCCAAAAUUCCUCUUUCCUCAGAAAAAUCCGCAAGAAUCCGAUUCUCUUUCUUGUGAACCAAAUCGGACAAAUGGAGGUCUAGGAUCUUGAAUCUCUCAGAUCCUACGACCACCAUUUAUCCGAGAUUGUUCUCAAUACCAAAAGCGCGUGAAUCCUUAGGGAGAGAAGAAUCUUUCUGUCAGAGGUCGUUACGGGACGGGUGACAUGGAGGAGGGAGGGUGAAGGAAUCACGUGCGUGAGUUGGAGGGAGAGUGAACUCGCUUGAGUUCAAGCGAGUUCGGUCGACGGAGGGAGAGAAAAGGGGGUGGGCGCCGCUUGGUUAGGAAUUAGGUUUAGGGUUGUGGGGGAGGGGAAACGCAUAAUAGGCUUUUUAUAUGGGGGGGGGUGAGAGUGGACUGUGUCCGUUGGAUGGCGAUGGAUUGAAUGGUCGAGAUCGAUCCAUCCAAAACGACGUCGUUCGCACUUAGUUGUGAGACAGGACUGGGUGAGGGGUUGGGCUUGGCGGAAUUCAGGUGAGUGUUUGGGCCAAAUUGUUUUGGCCCAGAUUUAAACCCAAACAGAAUUUCCUUCUCUUUUUCUUUUUCCUUGAUUUUAAAUAAAAUUAAUUAAUCAAAAACCUAAAUUAAGUAUUAAAUCAAUCUAAUUUGUAGGAAUAAACCUAGUUAUCUAUUUUACCAUUAAUUAAUUUAGACUAAUGAAGGAAGAAUUACUUAAUUUACGAUUAAAUGCUAAAAAUACAAAAAUGACCCAUAUUUUGUGAUUUUCUAUUUAAUAAUGCAAUUAACUUAUGUAAUUAAAUCCUAAAUGCAACUAGACCUAAAAUGUUAUGCACGAAAUACUUUAGACAUUUUGGUGUUUUUCUUAUGAUUUUAGCAUGUUAAAUAUGCAACUAAAUGCAAGCAGCUUUUAACCAAAAUUCCUACAAAUUCUAUAAAACUAAAAACAAUUAAGAAAAAUCUAUAUGUGAAUUUCUAUAGGAAUAUUUUAGUCGGGCAAAAAUCACGUGCUCACAGCUGCCCCUCUUUGCUUGGAAACACGGAGAGUUUUCGGGCAAAGAUACAUUGAGCAAAUACGAGCGAUUUUUGACCGUUUGUAUACUCCAUGGAAGCGUUUUGAAAUCGUUUGACCGAACCUUGCUUCCGAGGUUGCCUACAUAUCCUCGGCUAUGGAGGAAUCAGGUCAGUGUAGUUCUGGAAGUUUUGGUAGCUGGAACUACCGAGAAGCUGUGAUUUCACUGUUGUUGCUGCUGCUGCUCUUUCUUGCUGAGCUCCCUAUUACACCAAAGUCAAAAUGAAAAAGAAACUAACUAAGCCUAUCAGCUACGAGUUACAAGAUUCCUAUCUAUGAGUCUUCUGAAGCUUGAUCUUGAGUCUUGAAUGGUUCUUCAUGCGGACUUUUGACUUGAACCUUGAUGCUUGCUAACUGCAGGUGCUAGUUCUUUCUCCUUCUUUUUUUCUUUUUUUUUUUCUUCUUUUUUUUUUCUUUUAUUCUGGAUUGAGACUUCUUCCUUUGCUCAUCUCAGACUGUCAGCUUGCAUUCUUGAGGCGAGCUUCUGCUACUUCUAACUUGAAUUAAAUCCUUAAACGACUUCCCUCAUUCUCCAGGUGGGCGCCUGAUGACUUAAAACUCAAAAUAAAUUCCCUCAUUCUCCAGGUGGGCGCCUGCUGACUUAAAAACUUGAAAUAAAUUCCCUCGUUUUCUAGGUGGGCGCCUGCUGACUUAAAACUUGAAAUUAAUUCCCUCGUUAUCUAGGUGGGCGCCUGUGUUGACAUAAAACUUGAAAUGAAUUCCCUCGUUUUCCAGGUGGGCGCCUGAUGACUUAAAACUGAAAUGAAUUCCCUCGUUUUCCAGGUGGGUGCUUGAUGUUGACUUAAACUUGAAAUGAAUUCCCUCAUUUUCUAGGUGGGAGCCUGAUUACUUAAAACUGAAAUGAAUUUCCUCAUUUUCCAGGUGGGUGCCUGAUGACUUAAAACUUUAAAUAAAUUCCCUCGUUCUCCAGGUGGGCGCCUGAUGUUUUAAAACUUUAAAUAAAUUCCCUCGUUCUCCAGGUGGGCGCCUGAUGUUGACUUAAAACUUGAAAUGAUUCCCUCAUUUUCUAGGUGGGCGCCUGAUUACUUAAAACUGAAAUGAAUUUCCUCAUUUUCCAGGUGGGUGCCUGAUGACUUAAAACUUUAAAUAAAUUCCCUCGUUCUCCAGGUGGGCGCCUGAUGUUUUAAAACUUUAAAUAAAUUCCCUCGUUCUCCAGGUGGGCGCCUGAUGUUGGCUUAAAACUUGAAAUGAAUUCCCUCGUUUUCCAGGUGGGCGCCUGAUUACUUAAAACUGAAAUGAAUUUCCUCAUUUUCCAGGUGGGUGCCUGAUGACUUAAAACUUUAAAUAAAUUCCCUCGUUCUCCAGGUGGGCGCCUAAUGUUUUAAAACUUUAAAUAAAUUCCCUCGUUCUCCAGGUGGGCGCCUGAUGUUGACUUAAAACUUAAAAUGAUUCCCUCAUUUUUCAGGUGGGCGCCUGAUUACUUAAAACUGAAAUGAAUUUUCUCGUUUUCCA
rnacentral:lncRNA from 1 species